CCCCUGCAUGUGUGUUUAUCUAUUUUCUACCUGUAUACAUAUGCAGGCACUGAAAACAGACUAGAAGUAGAUACACCAAAAUGUUCACAGGGGUAAUCAGUGCAUGGUGGAGUUAGGGAUAAUUAUUUUAUUCAUUUUGCCUGUCAGUAUUUUCAAUAAUGGCCAUGCAUUACUUUUAGAGAUGGGGGGAAUUAACUCUAGAAGAACAUUAAAGCUUGCCUCUCCCCUCACGUCUUCUUUGGCUUGAGUCACAUCUCACAGAGAGAAAGACCAAGGCACGCUGCACCAAUGAGCUCCCCGAAGUCAUGCUUCCCCUCCCAUGUCGUGCUGGCAUCCUUUCUCCGAGGAAGAGAAUGAGUUUCCAGACAGCAGAGCGGGCCCUUCUCAGGGCCAGGAUGGUCCUGGCAGCAGUCGUUCUCUAACACAUCACGACAUGUGUUUCCAGUAACUCUGUUUGUGGCCGCUUUCUUCUCUUAUCACUCCUCCUGUGACCUUUGCUGGUUGCAGACUUACCGACUGGAGCCAGGUGGAUUUGUUUGAUUUUUGUUGAUGGUUAUUAGGAAGAGGAAGUGCCAGAAGGGAUUACCUCAAGUUUAAACCUAUUUCCAGCAGAGUCCCAGGGCCUUUAAUUACACAUGUUGGGUCUGUUUGGUAAAGAAGUGGUCAAAGAUGUGCUUUUUAUCUCCCUAGGAAUCUCCUGCGACUGGCAGCAUUCCAUUUGUGCCUGAUGUUCCUGUAAACUCCAGCCACAACCCCUGUGGGGAGGAGGGGCUGCUGUGGAGAAUGAGAUAUGAAGUUGAAAGCUGCGUAUAUCACUCGCGAACCUUCCAGACAACUGAAGAAUAACAAUGAAUACUGCCAUCUUCCCAGAGCUCCAGCACUAAUCUUUGUUAAGGCUUAGAGGAAACCACUUUUCUCAGUUUUGAUGUCUAUGAAUCUGCAAUCACUAAUGAAUGGGGAAAAGUCUGUGAAACAUUUAUUUCCUACAUCAAUGAUUAAAAUUAGCUGUUUUUAGAGCAGAAUGAACAACAUACAAAGCAGGUUGGACGACAUCUAUUUCACACAAUUGCAUCUCAGUUUCUGACCUAGGUAAAAUCCUGCAUAAAUGUAGGAGAAUCCUCUAUAUUAAUAUGUUCUGUAUUCAGGUUUAAGAGAUGUGCAUUUACAUUUACAUUUUAUUAAUUCAUCAACUGAUACUUAAGAAUUAAAACUCUCAAAAUCAGAAGACGAUGCUUUUUGGUAAAGAAAAAAAGAAACAGGCUAUAAGUAAAAACAGGUAUAAAAAUUAACACAAAACCUUUGAGUAAUGUAUUUAUCCUAUAAGCGGAAAAUUCUGAGAAUAAUGGAGGACUGAGGGGAUUAAAAUGCCACGCAGUAGAUGGACUAUUUCAGAUUUUAUAGUCAGGGAAACUGGCUUCGGGAGGACAGCUCUCAAUUCAUGUACUUUACGUAAGAGCAGUUCUUUCUAUAGGCCAUAAAGUUGUAGGUGAUACAAUCAACUGGGUUAUAAAAUAGCUUCUUUUUAGAAUGGAGAUGAUACAAAAAUCAAUUUCUACAACCAUCAUUUCCUCCUGAACACCUCUUUCACUUUCAACCUAAACUUACUCUCCCCUUUGGGAAUUCCCAGUGUAUUUCUUUGAGAUGUCUUCCACAUUAACAGUAGAGCCUACAAAGAACCAACAUGCAGAGGCUACUUGUCAAAGGGCACUUUCUGUAGGUAGUCUAAAAGAACACAAUUAUACACAUACACAAACGUGUACAGGUAUACGCAAAAGGGAAAAGGAGAUGCAAGAGUACUGUACUACUGCUUUAACAAAUGCUCUCACCCAAUCCACCUUAUCCAUCUUACAGGAUAGAAACACUAUUUAGGGUUUAAAAUACGCAAAAAAACAUUUUUUUUAAAUAUAUAAACCAUCUAUGGAAGCAUAUUUUGCCUUCUGUUAUGACCCUCAUCAUUCCUCAACUCAUAUUCUAAAAGCCUGAGAGGUGAAAAUCUUCUGAACAGCUGAACCACCCACAGAACCUGAAAAUUAUUAUACAUUUUGCACAUGAUUAACCUAUAUUCACCACUGAGGUUUAACCAAGAACCAGAUUCACAUAGGUAAUAGGGGUCACAACUACUUUUUCAUAAAAUAUACCCUCCUACUGGCCAGGUGAGGUGGCUCACGCCUGUAAUUCCAGCACUUCAGAUUGCUUGAGCCCAGGAAUUCAAGACCAGUCUGGGCAACAUGGCAAAACCCUGUCUCUACUAAAAAUACAAAAAUUAACUGGGUGUGGUGGCACAUGCCUGUAGUCCCAGCUACUUGGGGAGGCUGAGGUGGGAUGGCUUGAGCCUGGAAGGUGAAGGUUGCAGUGAGCCAAGAUCACGACUUUGUACUUAAGUCUGGGCAACAGAGCGAGACCCUGUCUCAAAAAAAAAAAAAAAAAAAAAAAAAAAAUCUAUGCAUCCAUCUAUCUAUACAAACACACAUCCUCCUACUUUACAUAAAUGUACAAUUCCAUGUCUAUUCUUAGCAUGUUUUCAGUUAAAAUUAGAUUACUGAUGUUUACAAGAAGCACGGUCAAAUGAUUUUUUUCAUUUUAUGUCAAUGUUUACACGCCAACCCUCCAGAAGGUUGGGACAAUGGGAAGAGGGCAUUGGACUGGAUGUAAAGCCUGAGGCCAGGGGUCUAGUUUUGUUAGGGUCUAGAUUCUCACCCCAGAAUCUUACCCCCUCAGGCAAUCACUCAAAUUGAAAUAUCACUUCUAUUGGUCCUGAUACUCUACUUCAGUAGUUAUCUUACUUCUUCCUUUGAAUGUAAACCAUUUAUAGCUAAGUAGAGUAUAUUUUAGUAUAAGAACACAGUGAAGGCUGGGUGCGGUGGCUCACACCUGUAAUCCCAGCACUUUGGGAGGCCGAGGCGGGCGGAUCACGAGGUCAAGAGCUCGAGACCAGCCUGACCAACAUAGUGAAACCCCGUCUCUACUAAAAAUAUAAAAAUUAGCUGGGCGUAGUGGCGCGCGCCUGUAAUCCCAGCUACUUGGGAGGCUGGGGCAGGAGAAUCGCUUGAACCUGGGAGGCGGAGGUUGCAGUGAGUGGAGAUCGCAACACUGCAUUCCAGCCUGGGCGACAGGGCGAGACUCCGUCUCAAAAAACAAACAAACAAAAAACACAUAGUGAAGACCAAACAAAAUUUCAUCUGUACUAAUAAUGACUCACGGUGGGCCAGAGCUCAAGUCAGUAUGUAAUAAGAAAGCAAAGGGAAAAAAAAAAUCAUUUACUUCACUAAAACUUCUGUUGUUUCUUUAAAACUCUAAACAAAAUUGACCCUAUAAGUAAAGAUAUUCAUUCUUAUCAUUUUUUAACAAGCAAAUUUUAAUAAUGCCUUUUAUUUCUAUACAAAGCAAUGUAACUUUCU
rnacentral:lncRNA from 10 species